GACGAACGCUGGCGGCGUGCUUAGCACAUGCAAGUCGAACGAUGACGACCGAGCUUGCUCGGUCUGAUUAGUGGCGAACGGGUGAGUAACACGUGAGCAACCUGCCCUUCACUCUGGGAUAACCUCGGGAAAUCGGGGCUAAUACCGGAUAUGAGCUCCUGUCGCAUGGCGGGUGUUGGAAAGUUUUUCGGUGAAGGAUGGGCUCGCGGCCUAUCAGUUUGUUGGUGAGGUAGUGGCUCACCAAGGCGAUGACGGGUAGCCGGCCUGAGAGGGCGACCGGCCACACUGGGACUGAGACACGGCCCAGACUCCUACGGGAGGCAGCAGUGGGGAAUAUUGCACAAUGGGCGAAAGCCUGAUGCAGCGACGCCGCGUGAGGGAUGACGGCCUUCGGGUUGUAAACCUCUUUCAGCAGGGAAGAAGCGAAAGUGACGGUACCUGCAGAAGAAGCGCCGGCUAACUACGUG
rnacentral:rRNA from 1 species